rnacentral:rRNA from 1 species
UACGUAGGGUGCAAGCGUUGUCCGGAAUUAUUGGGCGUAAAGAGCUCGUAGGCGGCUCGUCACGUCGGCUGUGAAAACCCGGGGCUCAACCCCGGGCCUGCAGUCGAUACGGGCGAGCUAGAGUUCGGCAGGGGAGACUGGAAUUCCUGGUGUAGCGGUGAAAUGCGCAGAUAUCAGGAGGAACACCGGUGGCGAAGGCGGGUCUCUGGGCCGAUACUGACGCUGAGGAGCGAAAGCGUGGGGAGCGAGCCGG